rnacentral:rRNA from 1 species
AUACAUGCAAGUCGAGCGAAUGGAUUAAGAGCUUGCUCUUAUGAAGUUAGCGGCGGACGGGUGAGUAACACGUGGGUAACCUGCCCAUAAGACUGGGAUAACUCCGGGAAACCGGGGCUAAUACCGGAUAACAUUUUGAACCGCAUGGUUCGAAAUUGAAAGGCGGCUUCGGCUGUCACUUAUGGAUGGACCCGCGUCGCAUUAGCUAGUUGGUGAGGUAACGGCUCACCAAGGCAACGAUGCGUAGCCGACCUGAGAGGGUGAUCGGCCACACUGGGACUGAGACACGGCCCAGACUCCUACGGGAGGCAGCAGUAGGGAAUCUUCCGCAAUGGACGAAAGUCUGACGGAGCAACGCCGCGUGAGUGAUGAAGGCUUUCGGGUCGUAAAACUCUGUUGUUAGGGAAGAACAAGUGCUAGUUGAAUAAGCUGGCACCUUGACGGUACCUAACCAGAAAGCC